rnacentral:rRNA from 1 species
UACGUAGGGUGCAAGCGUUGUCCGGAAUUAUUGGGCGUAAAGAGCUCGUAGGCGGUUUGUCGCGUCUGCUGUGAAAACGCGAGGCUCAACCUCGCGCCUGCAGUGGGUACGGGCAGACUAGAGUGCGGUAGGGGAGAUUGGAAUUCCUGGUGUAGCGGUGGAAUGCGCAGAUAUCAGGAGGAACACCGAUGGCGAAGGCAGAUCUCUGGGCCGUUACUGACGCUGAGGAACGAAAGCGUGGGGAGCGAACAGG